rnacentral:misc_RNA from 1 species
UGCAGCAGCUUGCGACUUCCAC